rnacentral:lncRNA from 1 species
GCUCUUCGCUGGUUUUCUAUGACGUCAGGACACACCCCUAUAUGGCAGGGGGGGCAUCGUCUUCAAUAAAUUCAGAGGAGUUCUAUUCGACCAAAAACAUGAGACUGUCAUGCUCCUCCUGUCCAAUAAAAAGAGAGAUUAUUCUUACAUGUUUGUUAUGAUUGGUUGCUUGUGGUGAUAUACUUACAGAUAUGCCUUUCUGCUGAGCUGUGGGGCGGGACAACGCAGAAGUGGUGGUUGUAGCUAUUUAUGGAUAGAUUAAAGAUUUGCCUCCGUACGGAUUAAUUUUAACACCAGAAAAGUUUCCAUUGAACGAAGAAUACGUUCACCAGCUACCAAACAUUUGGAAAAUUCUCGACCUGGCUACAAGUUUAACAGUUCCCGAGACCCUACCCAGCAAAGUAAAGAAACGUGACAUGCCACAUCAGUGCAUUCUUCCAUCACAUGUGCAGCUGAUUCUCAAGAUCUUGCACACUAAUGAGAUGCUAUUGAGCCCACACUACUACACUGUCUGAGCCAAGGACUACAUGCUUUCUGGGAAAAGCCACGGGCUCUAUCUGAUUUGUGGAGAAAUUUCACUGCAGCUAAUGUAGAAGGAAAAGCUGUGUACAUUUGCUAAUACUGUGAAAAAUCAUAUGUGAAGAAUGCAACAGAGAUGAGAAUCAUCUGGCCAAGUGCAUAAAGUUCCCUCCACUCACAAACAAACAAGCUCUGACAAAAGUCCCUCUACUUCUAUUCGAGGUGAAAAUGAUGAAUCAGACACCUUAUCGAUAGCAACAGCUCAGGGUCCUCCUGGAAUCCAUUUUUUUUUUACUCAAUGGAGGAACGUAGUCAGAGAUGCUGAUGAAUGUUUUGCUCGAGCUGUGUAUGCAACUGGUUCACCUCAAGCUCACAGGCAAUGUGUAUUGGAAGAGAUUUCUGAAUGUUCUUCGCCCAGCAUACACCCCUCCAACCAGACAUGCUUUAUCUACUCAUUUGCUGGAUGCAGAGUUCAAGUGAAGGUCAAGCAAAUCAUAGAGAAAGCACACUGUAUUGCAAUCAUCUCUGAUGGGUGGUCGAAUAUUCGUGGGCAAGGAAUAAGUAACUACAUCUCCACCCCUGAACCAGUAUUCUACAAGAGUACAGACAUAAGGGACAACAGACACACCAGUCCCUACAUUGCAGAUGAGCUGAAGGAAGUCAUCAAUGACCUUGGAACACAGAAGGUAUUUGCACUGGUGACAGACAAUGCUGCGAACAUGAAGGCCGCUUGGUCGAAAGUGGAGGAGACCUACCCUCACAUCACACCCAUUGGCUGUGCUGCUCAUGCAUUGAUUCUGAUUCUCAAGGACAUCAUGGCACUGAAAACAAUGGAUACACUCUACAAGAGAUCCAAGGAAAUGGUUAGGUAUGUGAAGGGUCAUCAAGUUAUAGCAGCAAUCUACCUCACCAAGCAAAGUGAGAAGAAUAAGAGCACCACAUUGAAGCUGCCCAGCAACACCCGUUGGGUUGUGUUGUCAUCAUGUUUGACAGUCUCCUUGAGGGGAAGGAGUCUCCAUGGAAUGGCCAUAUUACAGUCUGCCCAUAUGGACAGCCCCAUCAAGAGGAUCCUCCUGGAUAAUGUAUUUUGGGAGAGAGUGGUAAGCAGCCUGAAACUCCUGAAACCUAUAGCAGUAGCCAUUGCACGGAUUGAGGGAGACAAUGCCAUCCUGUGAUGUUCAGACUGCUUGCAGAUGUAAGAGAAUAAAUCUGUACUGCCCUGCCCAGUUCAGUGUUGCUCCAAGCAGAGGAUACGGCAGUUCUGAAAUGCAUCAAAAAGCGUCUGGCGAACUACACUUCCAAGCAAGGGCUUUGGGAUGGAGAUGCAAUAUGGGAGUCGUGCCAACAUAUCUCAUCAGCCACCUGGUGGCAGGGACUUUGUUGAUCUGAGGCUCUUUUCUCUUUUGCCUCCAUCAUCCUCCAAAUCCCACCAACAUCACCCGCCUCAGAGCGCAACUGGUCCUUUUUUGGGAACACACACACCAAAGCACACAACAGUCUGACCAAUACUAGUGUUGAAAAAUUGGUGGCCAUCCGGGCAAUUUUGAGGCUUUUUGAGCCUGACAACGAGCCAUCCUCAACAAGGUUGGAAGAUGAGGCCUCACAGUCUGAUGUUCAAGAGGUGGACAUUGAGGAGGUCCAGGGAGAAGAGAGGAACACAACCAAAGCUUUAGUUUCUGGACUAUAAUUUUACAGAUGUAUGUUAAAUGUUUUUGGGAGAUGCGAUGGAUCAUUAUUCCCUUAUCAGUAUUCCCUUUUUGUUGUUCAGUGAAAUCUUCCCAUGUGAAGUGUCAACUCAUUUAAAGUUCAGUUUGUAACUAAAUGUUUUUUUUUUUCUAUUGGAAUGAUUUAAUCAUUUGCAAUUAUGUCUACUUAUAGUAAGGUAAAAGGUUUCUGUCUCCAUAUGAUAUAAAAACCUCUACAUUUUAAAUGGUAUCUUAAUAUGAAUUGCAUAUAUUCUCUGUAAAGUUUCCACUUCUGAAUAUUCCCCAAAAUGUGCAACCUAUCUUAAACAGAUGGAUUUUUAAAAUUAUGUUAAUUAUAUUUCAAGUCUUUAAAAGUAAGAGAAACAAUGAUUUUCAAAACCUGCAAUUAGGGAGGGUAUUUUUUUCCCCCAUAUCACUGCAAAUCUGUUUGAAAAUGACUUGACGCACUUGAUUUAUUUUUUUCUUCCUACAACUUACAAAUGUGCCGUUUUCACACACAGACACUGGUUUGAUUCUGGAGAUACUGAAUAUUAGAUUAAAAAAGGCGACUCAGCAACCUUUCAAUCUGACUAUCCACAAUACUCAUUAUUGUGUGCAUGUAACCCUACUCACUAAAAAACUGUGGGUAACGUUAUAUCCUCCUGUAUGUGACUCGAUAGACAUUCUCUGUUGCGGACACAUUUCUAGUAACAUGGCAGUGUUCAUAACCUUGCCAGACUAUUAGCUUUUUUUGCCUGAGUGGUUCAUUUAAUUUAUUUCCCCCCAAAAUUCUGUUCUCUCUGUUUUGUUGCUUCAGGUUUUUUACUGUCAAUCACUUGUUUAAUAAAAAAAACAACACUUGCUUAAACCAAAGACUACUUUUGAGGUCUGGGAAAAAUAUAAAAUGUUUAUUUUGAGUAGUUACUCUUUUAAUGGAAGUGUAUACCAGCAAGAGACUAUUGUUUCAGUAACCCUCAUGUGAUUGCAGAGUUUGCAAAACAAAUGGCCACUGGAUUCAUAGGCUUGUUUGUAGUUCACAUUUAAUUGAGAAGGUUUUGGGAAAGCCUUUCCAUCUGAAUCAGAAGAUGGUUAUCGUUAGCAUUGUCGCUAACAGCUACACAUGUUGACAUGCGCACGCACCACACACAGACAGGCAUUCCUGUGCUUUUGCAUUUUGUCUUAUGUUUAACUUUGGCAAAUGUAAUGCAUUUUCUAAUACGUUAAUACAUUUAGUUGAUUUCAAUGAAAGUUAAACACAUUAAUUUUAAUGUCUGGAUUCUGUCAGUGUUCUCUGCAGCUCAGACUGUUCCUAAAUGUUG